rnacentral:rRNA from 1 species
GACGAACGCUGGCGGCGUGCUUAACACAUGCAAGUCGAGCGGAAAGGCCCUUCGGGGUACUCGAGCGGCGAACGGGUGAGUAACACGUGAGUAACCUGCCCCAGACUUUGGGAUAACCCUCGGAAACGGGGGCUAAUACCGGAUACGACACAGCUUCGCAUGGGGUCUGUGUGGAAAGUUUUUCGGUUUGGGAUGGGCUCGCGGCCUAUCAGCUUGUUGGUGGGGUGAUGGCCUACCAAGGCGACGACGGGUAGCCGGCCUGAGAGGGCGACCGGCCACACUGGGACUGAGACACGGCCCAGACUCCUACGGGAGGCAGCAGUGGGGAAUAUUGCACAAUGGGUGGAAGCCUGAUGCAGCGACGCCGCGUGAGGGAUGACGGCCUUCGGGUUGUAAACCUCUUUCAGCAGGGACGAAGCGUAAGUGACGGUACCUGCAGAAGAAGCGCCGGCCAACUACGUG